rnacentral:lncRNA from 1 species
ACCAGGUGUGCUGGGACCAAGUCUCACACAUAUGAUGAAUCAUGGCACAGGAUCGAAUUUCACAUCUUUACUACAUAACAGGAGUUCUAUACAAAAUAAAUAAUUACAUUAUAAGGAGACAACGGUCCAGCAACCCAAAGUUGACUGGGAGACGACGGCCUAGAUCUCUCACGAACACAUGGCCACAUCCUUCAUGCGCCUCAUCCUGCGGUACCUGUUCUUGACCUGUGGGGGGGUGUGAGACAGCAAGAGUGAGCUCACAUACGUUCAUCACUCAACAAUUUGUGGGGAAUAAUGUGAGUGAACUCGCCAAAGGUGGGAGUUCAUGUGAAGUGUAAGGCUUACCAAAGAGGAUGGUUAGAGCUGAGCAUUGCUUUUAAAGUUGGUCAAAAUUUUAUUAGCAAUUACUAAGUAUAAGUAAAUACCAACCCAAUUAAGUAGUAGAACAAAAGUAACAACAUCACCUGCGAUGCAAUGCAUAUGACAAUUUGAAUUUAGUUCCAUAAAUUAAUCAUGUGAGGGUCCGAGCUGCUCAUGACCGUGAGCACGGCUAGUAUACCAGUUUUACACUCUGCAGAGGUUGCACAUCUUUACCCACAAGUCAUGUUACUCAUCUGCCAAGGGAUCGCGACUUCCCAUACACCUCUACCGAGGAGGCGAGGCAGGGUAACACUAUGAGGCCUUUACAAAGUUCCACUAGCUUCAGAAAACCCGCUACAGUUUAUAGAAAGCUCCAAUGCAGGGUUCUUGCCUGACCGCCAUCGCAGCAAAAUCAACCAAGGACCCCCCUACACUGACCACUCCCCUACUGCCCUUGCCCCUUUCGGGUAAGGUAGUCCUCCACUAGCUUUCCUGAUUAAUCAGCCAAGGGCGUCCAUAAACCCUUGUGGUAGCACUGUUUUCCUGGGUGGUCGCUCCAUGUUCCAAUUAACAUAAUGAUCUUAUCAUGAACAGUGAUAAUAAAUAGAUAAUAAAAGUGUGAUCAUGAAUAAUGUAUCUUCAUACCCAAAACCACAUAAAGCACUAGCAAGUACUACCCAAAAAGUUCAGUGGUAAACAAGGUAUAAAGAUAAUCAAACUAGGGUAACCUAUUGGGUCCCAUCAAAAUUAACCUAUGCAGAUCAUUAUGAUUAAUCAGAACAUGAGUAGGUAAAAAGAAGUGAUCAAGGGCACAACUUGCCUGGCACUUGAGAUUCCAAUUACCAGGGUGAUUCUUCAGAUCUUCAAAACCUCGCGCUAGUCGUAGCAAUACAAACAGACAUGGUAUAGACAAAAUUAACAUCACACCAAACAUAAGUACAAACUGAAUAAUAAUGAUCUACGCGUUGCUACGAGAUCGCGGGAACGAGAACCACUAAGAUCGGAGUUAUGGUUAAGGAGUUGUGAUUUAACCAUUAAACUAUGUUAUCACUUGGUUAGUAUAAAUCAUAUGAGAUAUUAUUCUAUAAAUAAUUAUCUCAACUUUAAUCUAAUUUAUAAAUUUACCAUAAAUUAUAUUUUGGUAGAUAAUGAUGAGCACAUUAACAAGACUAACCAACGUAGGUUAAAUAAAGGCCUAAUUAUAACAUAAUAAAACAUGGUAUGAUAAGUGUUGUUAUUGCAUAGUAAAUAUUUAUACGAUACUAACGCAACUUGAACGGAUUAAACCGGAGUUGAAACGGAGGAAUUAUGAAUUUCAAAAGAUUUUAUGUAUUUGAUAUGAUAUUAAUUAGGAGAUCAAUUUUAUUAUUGUUUUCAUGUCAAAACAGAGGCAAUAGGUGAUAAACAACAUUAUUACAAAAUUAUAGAAAUUGGAAUGGGUCAAUUUGGACUAAGUAUGCAUUUCCUAUAAAUUAAACAAGUUCUAGCAUUUAUUUUUACACUAAAAAUCCAUUUCUAAGUGAUUUUAUAGAUUUUUCCUCACUGUCUGGGCUGCGCGCACAAUUCACAAGAAGUCCAGGGACUGGAACAGAAAGAUACACAGACUCAGUGAAUCCAGGACUGGACCGCGGUUAUUUAGUAGAAACCAUAGGGGUUUAUUUGCAAUGUUGGUGGCCGAAGGGGUAUGUUGAAAUGGCGAUCGUCCGAUCAAUAACCGAGGGUGUAGAUUAGAUCAAAACGAUCAAGAAACCUCGGCCGCACGAUCCAGACGGACGCCCCAGAUUUAAACACAGCCGGAUUCGCCGUUGGCCCUCGGAUCAAAAUCAUACGGCUGCUAUCAACCGAGCGAAGGGGUAUGAAGUCUUCUAAUCCUAGCCGUUGAAUACCAGAUCGACGAUCAGGGCGCCCCCCUACGCUUUCCUCUCUCCCUGCUCACUCCGGCCGGUGGUGAACCCAAAUUUUGCGGCGGCGCCAUUGACUGGGUUACGCAAACUGGCUAACUCGCGCACAACCCCGAAUACCGAACGGUCCUACACGAAGUAUAGCGUAUGGCAAAUCUAAUGGCGGUUUGUUUACCUGAUGGGGUGGUGGCAGAUUGGCUAACCAUGGCGGGAGGCGGACCCGCGG